GAGUGCGAACGGGUGAGUAAUGCAUCGGAACGUGCCCAGUAGUGGGGGAUAACACAUCGAAAGAUGUGCUAAUACCGCAUACGCACUAUGGUGGAAAGCGGGGGACCGCAAGGCCUCGCGCUAUUGGAGCGGCCGAUGUCCGAUUAGCUAGUUGGUGGGGUAAAGGCUCACCAAGGCGACGAUCGGUAGCUGGUCUGAGAGGAUGAUCAGCCACACUGGGACUGAGACACGGCCCAGACUCCUACGGGAGGCAGCAGUGGGGAAUUUUGGACAAUGGGCGCAAGCCUGAUCCAGCCAUGCCGCGUGAGUGAAGAAGGCCUUCGGGUUGUAAAGCUCUUUCGGCCGGAACGAAAUCGUCCGGGCUAAUACCCCGGAUGGAUGACGGUACCGGAAGAAGAAGCACCGGCUAACUACGUGCCAGCAGCCGCGGUAAUACGUAGGGUGCAGGCGUUAAUCGGAAUUACUGGGCGUAAAGCGUGCGCAGGCGGCUACUCAAGUCAGAUGUGAAAUCCCCGGGCUUAACCUGGGAACUGCGUUCGAUACUGGUUGGCUUGAAUCCGGGAGAGGGAUGCGGAAUUCCAGGUGUAGCGGUGAAAUGCGUAGAUAUCUGGAGGAACACCGGUGGCGAAGGCGGCAUCCUGGACCGGCAUUGACGCUGAGGCGCGAAAGCCAGGGGAGCAAACGGGAUUAGAUACCCCGG
rnacentral:rRNA from 1 species